AGGGAGAACGGCAUAUUCCCCCAU
rnacentral:siRNA from 1 species